rnacentral:rRNA from 1 species
CUACACAUGCAAGUCGAGCGAGAGAAAUUCCUUCGGGAAUGGAUCUAGCGGCGGACGGGUGAGUAACACGUGGGCAACCUGCCUCAAAGAGGGGGAUAGCCUCCCGAAAGGGAGAUUAAUACCGCAUAAAGUUAUUUUAUCGCAUGGUAAAAUAACCAAAGGAGAAAUCCACUUUGAGAUGGGCCCGCGGCGCAUUAGCUAGUUGGUAAGGUAACGGCUUACCAAGGCAGCGAUGCGUAGCCGACCUGAGAGGGUAAUCGGCCACAUUGGAACUGAGAGACGGUCCAGACUCCUACGGGAGGCAGCAGUGGGGAAUAUUGCACAAUGGGCGAAAGCCUGAUGCAGCAACGCCGCGUGGGUGAUGAAGGUUUUCGGAUUGUAAAGCCCUGUCUUUUGGGACGAUAAUGACGGUACCAAAGGAGGAAGCCACGGCUAACUACGUGCCAGCAGCCGCGGUAAUACGUAGGUGGCGAGCGUUGUCCGGAUUUACUGGGCGUAAAGGGUGCGUAGGCGGAUAUUUAAGUGGGAUGUGAAAACCCCGGGCUCAACCUGGGGACUGCAUUUCAAACUGGAUAUCUAGAGUGCAGGAGAGGAAAGCGGAAUUCCUAGUGUAGCGGUGGAAUGCGUAGAGAUUAGGAAGAACACCAGUGGCGAAGGCGGCUUUCUGGACUGUAACUGACGCUGAGGCACGAAAGCGUGGGUAGCAAACAGGAUUAGAUACCCUGGUAGUCCACGCCGU